rnacentral:lncRNA from 1 species
CACUUUCACUAUACCACUUCUCAAUAUGCACACAGAGCAUUAUUUACUUCUGUGCAUAAUGUUAUAAAACUAUUGGGUGUUUUGAUAAGACUGUUCAAAAUCAGGGAAAAAGCUGUGGGAAACAGAUGUAAUUGAGGAGCGCUUAUGCUAAGGGCAAAUUUCCAGCAAAGCUGGAUAGCCUAAGUGAAAUCCACUCUUGCCCCCGAUCCUUAAUCUGACCCCAAAAAUCUUAAUUUCAUUUCAUAACACUCUGAAAUCCCACCAGUUACAGAUUUACUGGUAUCCCUUUUAAAAAAUGUAAAGUAUAUGAAAGUUAAAGAGAUUAUUUACUAUUUGGACUCUGUAAAUUAAUUUAAUAGGACUACUUUCCUCAUAGAUUAGCUGAGAUCAACAGCACUACUGGAACUGGAAAUGCAGAUUAAAGGAUCACUGAAGCAAGCACUGGUUACAUAUGUAAUACUUGGGAGUAAGUGGCUAACGUGGAAACCUGGUGAUACCAUGGUAGCACACUGUAGCAGGAAGAACAUGGGCUCCUGAACACUCCUGGAUUUUAAUCUGGUUCUAUCACCUUUCCUGUGACCUUGGAAAAAAGCCAGUUUACCUCUUUUCCAUGUUCAUUAUUGAGGCAAGAACAAAAGGCACCAAGGAAGAGAAAGGAGUGGACUGGGUAGAAAAGAAGGAUGCCAAAGAGAAACUCCUGAAAAUUCCUCCUUGAAAAUCAGGUUCAAUCAAGAGAAGAGACAGGAUCUUGCUGUACUGCCCAGCCUGGAGUGCAAUGCCACAAUCAUGGCUUACAGCAGCCUCAAACUACUGGGCUCAAGUGAUCCUUCCACCACCGUCUUCCAAGGAGCUGGUACUAUAGGUACAUGCCACCAUGUCCAGCUAAUUUUUCAAUUUUUUUGGUAGAGACAGGGCCUUGCUAUAUUGCCUAGGCUAGUCUUGAACUACUGGCCUCAACCGAUCCUCCCACCUCAGCCUCCCAAAGUGCUAAGAUUACAAGCAUGAGCCACUGCACCUGGCUUCUUUUUACUUUUUAAUGCAGUUAAAAAUUACGUAUAUGUAUUACAUCUGUAGCCCACAUUAUAAUUCCAUUGAAGAGUGCUGAGAUAUAAUAUUGACAUAUUAUUUCCAUCAUAGAAACUUGGAACAUUUUUAUUAUUUAGAAACAUGCUAUUUUAUACAUACACUGUUAUCUAUACUUCCAAAGAUAGUAAGUACGUACUCAUAAGAAGCUAUAUGUACAAGUUUUCUUAUUAAUUUGCUUGCUACUUGGUCAUUUAUUUUAUCUCUUACUGCUUGCUAAGGGACAAGUGGUAGCAGUCUCUAAAGGUUUAAAAAUAAUUAUGUAAAAACACCAGUAUGCUAUGGCCUGUUAGUCUGACAAACAAUGAAUUGAUGUCUAAAAUAAAGAACACAUUGUAAGAUAUACCAUGUGCAGUAGACUUCUGUCAUUUUGUUGGCUCCAAGCAUGUCAAGCCCUUGCUUGUGUUUGAAGAAUUCCUAACUUCAUAAAUUUUGGUGCAAAACAGAGCCUAUCUUCCAUUAUUAAAACUGAAAAUGUAGAUGCUUUUCCACAUGCCCUGCUGGCAGCCUAUGCUUACCCAGAGAUGUACCCACCAGCAAUUUUGAAUGUAGAACCUAGUAACAAAGAGCAGAGACAACAAAGAAUUCUUUCUGAUGACAGCAAUAGUGAAAGCAGUAUCUAGUUUCCGAAGGCAGCAGAACCAGUAGUGGCCUAGAGUGACCAGCAUACCCAGAAGUGCAAUCAACAGCAUCCAGUCAUCAUUCAGCAGACACAGCCGUAACGGUCACGCUGGCAUGAGUUUUGCCAUGGUUCUAGUUGUUUAGCCUCCCCUUUGUUUAUACACUUUUUCUAGGGCUGGCUCCAUCCAGCCUUCUACCAACUCUGUAAACCACUCAAUAUCCUAUCAGUAAAGUUUAUUUCAGCUUAAAUCAGCCAGAGUCAGCUUUCAUUGCUCACAACUAAGAAGCCUAAUGGAUACACCAGGACUUAUUUCUAAAACUUUAGAAAAUGGAAAGGUCCCAAAUUAAAUUAAUACAUCUCCUAGAAGAAAAACAUGGUCAAAAUGAAUUACUUCAGGGAAAGAUUAUUGGUUUUCUGAUUACUUGGGCAGUGUAUAUUAGAAACACCAGAAGCUUUUAAAUAAGUCCUGAUGCCCCGAUUGCAACCUAGUUAAGCCAGAAUGACUGCUGGUGGGAGACAGCCAUCAGUAAUUUUUUUUUUUUUUUUUUUUGAGACGGAGUCUCGCUCUGUUGCCCAGGCUGGCUCCAUCUCUGCUCACUGCAAGCUCCGCCUCCCGGGUUCACGC